GACGAACGCUGGCGGCGUGCCUAAUACAUGCAAGUCGAACGCAGUGGGUACGGGUUAGUAACACGUGUUUAACCUCCCGUCAGAGGGGAUAACACUUGGUAAUAGGUGCUAAACCGAUACUGAUGGAUGGAUCCGCGGUGCAUUAGCUAGUUGGUGAGGUAACGGCUCACAAAGGCCACACUACAUAGCGGACCUGCAAGGGGGAUCGGCCAACCUGGAACUUGUACACGGCCCAGCCUCCUAUGGGAGGAAGCAGUGGGGAAUUUCGGUCAAUGGCGGAAAGUCUGACCGAGCAAGGCGGCGUGAGUGAAGAAGGUUUCCGGAUCGUAAACCUCUGUUGUUGGUGAAGCGGUAUCUAACCAGAAAGCAACGGCUAACUACGUGCCAGCAGCCGCGGUAAUAC
rnacentral:rRNA from 1 species